AACGAACGCUGGCGGCAGGCUUAACACAUGCAAGUCGAACGCGUGUAGCAAUACACGAGUGGCGCACGGGUGAGUAACACGUGGAUAUCUGCCUUUUGGUUCGGGAUAACCCUGGGAAACUAGGGCUAAUACCGGAUGGUUCCUACGGGAUAAAGAUUUAUCGCCAAAAGAUGAGUCCGCGUCCGAUUAGCUAGUUGGUGAGGUAAUGGCUCACCAAGGCGACGAUCGGUAGCUGGUCUGAGAGGACGAUCAGCCACACUGGGACUGAGACACGGCCCAGACUCCUACGGGAGGCAGCAGUGGGGAAUAUUGGACAAUGGGGGCAACCCUAUCCAGCCAUGCCGCGUGAGUGAUGAAGGCCUUCGGGUUGUAAAGCUCUUUUGGCGGGGACGAUGAUGACGGUACCCGCAGAAUAAGCCCCGGCUAACUUCGUGCCAGCCGCCGCAGUAAGAC
rnacentral:rRNA from 1 species